rnacentral:misc_RNA from 1 species
CGGCAUUGUAAGACGGAGCUAAAACCGCAAAAGUUCUAACACGUCAAUACAGCACCGGACGUCAUUUGUUUGUUCGAAUUACGCUAGUUUUGGGCAAAAUGAAGUCAUCGACCCCAUACCCUCUAGGUAUUCUGCAUCCGAGAGCUCAAGCAAAAAUUCAUGGGCCGCAACAACACCACCAUAAUGAGUGAGUAGCACGGAACACAAAUAAUACUUCGAGAUUCACCCGAAGCCACACCCUUGGAAGGGGCAACACAAGGCGAACGAUGGGCAAAUUGACAAUCGAAUUCCAUUGCAAUAGGUAUGCAAUACAGAAAACCAAAACGUACGGCCAAGGCUAAUGUUGCUCUUGGGCCCAACAAGUGAAGAGGAUUGUAUGGGAGGACGUCACUGCCCAAGCAGAGAUCCA